AUACNUGCAAGUCGAGCGGACAGAUGGGAGCUUGCUCCCUGAUGUUAGCGGCGGCGGUGAGUAACACGUGGGUAACCUGCCUGUAAGACUGGGAUAACUCCGGGAAACCGGGGCUAAUACCGGAUGGUUGUUUGAACCGCAUGGUUCAGACAUAAAAGGUGGCUUCGGCUACCACUUACAGAUGGACCCGCGGCGCAUUAGCUAGUUGGUGAGGUAACGGCUCACCAAGGCAACGAUGCGUAGCCGACCUGAGAGGGUGAUCGGCCACACUGGGACUGAGACACGGCCCAGACUCCUACGGGAGGCAGCAGUAGGGAAUCUUCCGCAAUGGACGAAAGUCUGACGGAGCAACGCCGCGUGAGUGAUGAAGGUUUUCGGAUCGUAAAGCUCUGUUGUUAGGGAAGAACAAGUGCCGUUCAAAUAGGGCGGCACCUUGACGGUACCUAACCAGAAAGCCACGGCUAACUACGUGCCAGCAGCCGCGGUAAUACGUAGGUGGCAAGCGUUGUCCGGAAUUAUUGGGCGUAAAGGGCUCGCAGGCGGUUUCUUAAGUCUGAUGUGAAAGCCCCCGGCUCAACCGGGGAGGGUCAUUGGAAACUGGGGAACUUGAGUGCAGAAGAGGAGAGUGGAAUUCCACGUGUAGCGGUGAAAUGCGUAGAGAUGUGGAGGAACACCAGUGGCGAAGCGACUCUCUGGUCUGUAACUGACGCUGAGAGCGAAAGCGUGGGGAGCGAACAGGAUUAGAUACCCUGGAGUCCACGCCGUAAACGAUGAGUGCUAAGUGUUGGGGUUUCCGCCCCUUAGCUGCAGCUAACGCAUUAAGCACUCCGCCCUGGGGGUACGUCGCAAGACUGAAACUCAGAAUG
rnacentral:rRNA from 1 species